rnacentral:tRNA from 1 species
UCCCUGGUGGCUCAGAUGGUAAAGCAUCUGCCUGCAAUACAGAAGACCAGGGUUCAAUCCCUGGGUUGGGAA